UACGGAGGGUGCGAGCGUUAAUCGGAAUAACUGGGCGUAAGGGGCACGCAGGCGGGCUUUUAAGUGAGAUGUGAAAUCCCCGGGCUUAACCUGGGAAUAGUAUCUCAGACUGGGAGUCUUGAGUACUUUAGGGAGGGGUAGAAUUCCACGUGUAGCGGUGAAACGCGUAGAGAUGUGGAGGAAUACCGAAGGCGAAGGCAGCCCCUUGGGAAUGUACUGACGCUCAGGUGCGAAAGCGUGGGGAGCAAACAGG
rnacentral:rRNA from 1 species